UUUCCGUAGGUGAACCUGCGGAAGGAUCAUUCAUAAUAAGUGUUUUACUGCACUUUUUAAAAAUAGUACUCACCUUGUGUGCAAUGUUGUGUUUCUUUUCGGAGAAACACCUACACCAACCUAUAACCUUGAACCACUUUGUCUGAAAAACUAUUAUGAAUACUUAAUUCAAAAUACUACUUUCAACAACGGAUCUCUUGGCUCUC
rnacentral:misc_RNA from 1 species